rnacentral:rRNA from 1 species
CCUACGGGAGGCAGCAGUGGGGAAUAUUGGACAAUGGGCGAAAGCCUGAUCCAGCCAUGCCGCGUGUGUGAAGAAGGCCUUCGGGUUGUAAAGCACUUUCAGUGGGGAAGAAAGCCUUGGGGCUAAUACCCUCGAGGAAGGACAUCACCCACAGAAGAAGCACCGGCUAACUCCGUGCCAGCAGCCGCGGUAAUACGGAGGGUGCGAGCGUUAAUCGGAAUUACUGGGCGUAAAGCGCGCGUAGGCGGUCUGAUAAGCCGGUUGUGAAAGCCCCGGGCUCAACCUGGGAACGGCAUCCGGAGUGACGGGCGAGAGUGCGGGAGAGGGGGGUAGAAUUAACGGGGGAGCGGGGAACUGCGUAGAGAUGGGGAGGAAUACCAGUGGAGAAGGCGGCCCCCUGGACCGACACGGACGCUCAGGUGCGAAAGCGUGGGUAGCAAACAGGAUUAGAUACCCCGGUAGUC